rnacentral:rRNA from 1 species
CUUAUUACUAAAUUAUUAAUAGAUUUGUUCUUUAAAUUUAAAGGAUUUGGCGGUAAUUUAUCUAUUCAGAGGAACCUGCCCUUUAAUUGAUAAACCACAAGUAAUUUUACUUUUAUUUUUGCUUAUAUACCUCUAUCAUUGAAUAUCUUUAGAAAGAAUGAUUUUCUAAUAGAUUUUUUAAUCUUAAUGUUAGGUCAAGGUUUAGUAAUAUAAAAGUCUGUGGUGGGUUACAAUUUUUAUAUAAGAGGAUAUGUUUAAUGGAUAUAACUUUGAAUUUGGAUUUGAUAGUAAAAGUUUUUUGGUUAAAACUUUGAUUUUGUAAUAAAUUAAGCACACAUCGCCCGUCGCUCUU